CAGAUAUCAAAGAACCGAUCAAUCACAGAGAGACACAGGGAGACCGACUACAGAAAUACUAGAUUCCAUGCCGUGUUGAUGGUCAUUAGAGUAGAUAGACCAGUGUGAACACGCACACAUACACACACACUUGGACUGGACGCUCAAAGUUAUUAGAACGCUUUUUAUGAGAGAAAGACUAGGAGAGGAGGAGAGGAAGAAGACAAGAGAGAAGAAAACUGGACUCUCAAUCACUAUCUGUCAUCUUUGAAACAGACCUACGCACUUGCUGUGGAGGAAAGAACUUGUUUGGAGUGAGAAAUGCAUCUAAAAUGCCACAAUCCUGGAUUAAUAUAAUUACACAUAUACAAUAUGCACAAGAAUUAUAGGUGUAAGAGGAAAGCUGUUUCUCUGUCUGGAGUGUAAUCUCUCCAGAGGUAAACUAUUCAGCGGCGUUGGGGAGUUAAUCCCAAAGGGCUUUAGAGAAUCACUAACCGAGAACAGCACGAUCAGCACCGAGAACAGCACGAUCAGCACCGGGAACACCCCCACCCCCCCCAACCCAACCCCAUGCACAGACGGUAAACGUUGUAACGACAACGGUAGAGUACCACGCCACAGCUCCCUUCCUCUUAGUUGCCAUCCAUCUGCGCGCGCAAUAGCGAUCACGGAAAAACCUCUCCAUCACUUACCAAGGUCUCGGUGAUGAUGGCGUCUUCCUCGUGUCUCGAUAUCGGGUCGGUCGCUGUGUGUAGGGGUAAUUUGUGUGUGUCGCUCUCUCUCUCUUCUUAUUAUCUCCCCUGUCUCUCUCUCAAGGACGAGGUGAAAUCCGUGCUCUGGUCAUCCGGCGGCUUCACAGACAAAACCAACACGCAGCGGCAAGAACAAUAUACAAAAGGCAAGGAAGGGACAGAGGGGACGAGAAGUCAAUUUGUUUAGUGGCACUGAGACAAAAAAAAUAACUAUCACCUAUGGAGGCGGGUUAAAACUGGAGAUAGUUUAUAUAAUACUGGCCAAGGCUAUAAGUCAAACUGUAGGCUAGAACAACAGUUUCAGAUUGUCUCUGCGCGCGCUCUCAGCUCAAAGGUAUGUUUUCCUGCGCAUUGCAGCCUACCUUGUUAAUGCCACAGUAUUGUGCAGAAGGGGCUAGGGGUGAUAGGCAGCAGAGCAUAGAAAAUGUGCUUCUAAUGUUGUCAAAAACUCAAAUGUUCGUUCCUGUCCAAUUCGCUUUCACGGUUCAAGAGAUGGGCCUUUUACGUGGCAAUUCUGUAAUACAAGGAGCAAAGAGCAACUCGGAGGAACUUUUCUAUUCCAAAGUUAGCCCAUAUGAGAUAAUUUCCCUCACUGCUCUGAGAAGUUGGAGAGAAGGGGGUGCAAAUGUGCCAAGUAACGGGAUGUCUAAAUGGAGUGACCGCAUAAGUCAGCGUCUCUGUGCUCCUCCAGAUCCCCCGGGUUCCGCUGCUACCCACCCCAGCCAAAUGACACCCCGCUGGGGCUACAGCAGAGGUCUCUCCCCAAACAGACGGCUCUACAUCCACAGAGGUGUUCAUGGAAUGCAUAGGUCUAAUUGGGCUCCUGAGUGGCACAGUGGUCAAAGGCACUGCAUCUCAAUGCUUGAGGCGUCACUACAGCCACCCAGGUUCGAUUCCAGGCUGUAUCACAUCUGGCCGUGAAUGGGAGUCCUAUAGCAUCGUCCGGGGUAGACCUUCAUUGUGAAUAGGAAUUUGUUCUUAACUGACUUGCCCAGUUAAAUAAAGGUUAAAAAAAAU